ACAUAGAACACAACAUAUAAUGGAUAUAUUAACAGAAAAAUGUACAAACAUACAAAUACAAAAACAAUUAAAAAGAAAUGAAAUGAAUUUCUGUAAAUCUGUUAUAUACACAACCCAGAAUUACGAUAAAAAACAACAUAAAAAUAUAAGAAAAGAAAUAAUCAGAAACCAUAUAGUAGAAAACAAUACUUCUUAAGAAAGUCAAAGGCUAAAAAACCUUGGUUAAAUAGAGAUAGACAUGUUAGAAAAUAUAGAANN
rnacentral:lncRNA from 1 species